rnacentral:misc_RNA from 1 species
GAUGAAGAACGUAGCGAAAUGCGAUAAGUAAUGUGAAUUGCAGAAUUCAGUGAAUCAUCGAAUCUUUGAACGCACAUUGCGCCCCCUGGUAUUCCGGGGGGCAUGCCUGUUCGAGCGUCAUUUCACCACGCAAGCCUCGCUUGGUAUUGGGCAACGCGGUCCGCCGCGUGCCUCAAAUCGACCGGCUGGGUCUUCUGUCCCCUAAGCGUUGUGGAAACUUUCGCUAAAGGGUGUUCGGGAGGCUACGCCGUAAAACAACCCCAUUUCUAAGGUUGACCUCGGAUCAGGUAGGGAUACCCGCUGAACUUAAGCAUAUCAAUAAGCGGAGGA